rnacentral:misc_RNA from 1 species
UCAAAAUGAUUGAGAAACUUGCAGGGAAACUUGGUGCUGCAGUUGGUGCCACACGUGCUGCUGUCGAUGCUGGAUUUGUUCCCAAUGACCUUCAGGUUGGACAAACUGGUAAAAUUGUAGCACCAGAACUAUAUAUUGCUUUUGGUGUAUCAGGAGCCAUUCAACAUUUGGCAGGGAUCAGAGACUCUAAGGUUAUUGUGGCUGUGAAUAAAGAUGCAGAUGCACCAAUAUUUAAGGUUGCUGACUAUGGACUCGUUGGCGAUCUUUUUGAGAUUAUACCGGAGUUGCUUGAAAAGCUACCUGAAAGUAAAUAACCUUAUCACUAACCGAAUGGAGCUGGAAUGAGUUCAAAGGGGUAAAAAGGAUAUUCCUUUAUCUAAAUCUUUG